rnacentral:rRNA from 1 species
UACGUAGGGUGCAAGCGUUGUCCGGAAUUAUUGGGCGUAAAGAGCUCGUAGGCGGUCUGUCGCGUCGGCUGUGAAAACCUAGGGCUCAACCCUGGGCCUGCAGCCGAUACGGGCAGACUAGAAUUCGGUAGGGGAGACUGGAAUUCCUGGUGUAGCGGUGAAAUGCGCAGAUAUCAGGAGGAACACCGGUGGCGAAGGCGGGUCUCGUGGGCCGAUAUUGACGCUGAGGAGCGAAAGCGUGGGGAGCGAACAGG